UACAGCUGGCCCUACUUUUUAAGUUUACAUUUCAUUAAUCAGUUUUUAAUUUUAAUCUUUCUUAAAUCAGGUUAUAUUAAAUUAUUUAACAUCAAAUUUCAAAUAAAAUAUUAACAAUCAAUUACUAAUUAAUUACUGUCUUUUACGUGAAUAGUGGGAGAGAGAACUUAUCAAAAUUUAUUCUUCUUUCUUCCAUAUCCAGCAAGAAAGAAGUCAAAAUCCAUUCUUCAAUUCAAGAUUCCCAAAUCGUCAAGAUAUUUGAUAUUUGAAGCCUCCAUCGUUUGAAUUAUUAUUAAUUCUAUUUUCCCUAAUUCCCUAAUUCAUUCUCUCAAAUACCCUAUUUUAUAGUUCAAGAUUUUAUUGAACACUAACUCAUUACAAACCCAAAUCGAAAAUGGUGUUAACAAAGAGUGUAGGCCGAAAAUCUCAUUGAAGGAUGAAUAGGAGACUGGAAAAAUCAGGAUUAAAAAAACUAAAAGCACAGAAAGAUCUUCGUUCAAUAAAAAAAAAAAAAAAUCCUGAAAAAUUGGUUAUGGUGGAAAAUCUAGUUUGAAGAAUGUGCAUCAAUUCAUAAUUUUUUAAUCCAAUGUUUAUUUUAUUUUGAGUUCAUGGGCAAGUUGUGUUUGAAUUUUAUCGGGUGAUUAGGAUUUCAUAAUGUUAAUUUAACU
rnacentral:lncRNA from 1 species